UGAAACUAUGAAUCUAAUAUUAAAAUUGCUAAGGAAAAUUCAGAACUUCCUGUAAAGAAAUUUCCCAGUGCAUACAUAUAACUAUUAACUCCAGAAGGACUAUGUAUCUGCUAUCAUCAAAUUUACAAUAUUUCUCAAGAAUCACUAAGGAAUCAGACGAACAAUUAUCCCAACAUUACAACAAUUACAAGUUGGAGAAUACCAUCCUAUUUUUGCAGCCUAAUGUAUCUGUCUCUUGCACUUUACGUAUCGACGACAAGUUCAUGCUUCCCAGGUUUAGGUUGAAAUCUCUUGCUGUGAGGAUCUUCAUUGUCAAGAGGAGACUUCUGAUCAAAGGCUUCAGAAGUUAUCAUAACAGUUGGCUUUCCAAUUUUCUGUUGUCAUAGUAUAAAGACAACAUUAUUUAGCUUGUUUAAUGAUAUGAUAUGAUAUGAUAUAAUAUGGAUUGGUCUACUUAAAGAUGCUUUCGCAAAAUCAAACAUCUUUCAUUGCAAAUCGUAUUAAAAUUUUCUCAUCAAGAGUUUGAAAAUAAUCCUACUUAUUUAAUGAAAAAUCAUUCUGUAAUUCAAGUUCACGUAUUUGUUGCAUUGACAUCCCAAACCAUUCAUCAAUCCAACCAAAACAAUUCCGAUGGCUCUCUAAGAAAAGUGCCCUUUCACCCUGCAUAAGUUAAUAUGAAAGCGAUCAUUAAAUUUACAAUCAUGAAAAAUAAGAAAUAUAUAUCGAAUAAGAAGCAUGUAUUAAAUUUAUAGUUCAAAUGCGAAACGAUUCUUUAGAAAACUUGAGAUUUCUUUUAGCCAUCUGCCUUAAGAAAUUAAAGAAAGAAAGAAGAUAAAUUAAAAAAAAAGGAUGCAGCAAUCAUCUUCAUCAAAUCUUAUUUGUAAAAAUUUGUAUUGAGCCCAAGAGAGGUUACCGAUAGUAAAGCCCAUUCAAGUUGAUAACCAAAGCCCCAAUAUGGUGCAUCUACUGUUACCAACUUGUAUGCUGUCAUGACAGGUUUACAUAUAUCCUGCAACAUCAGUAUGCUAUAAUUAAUAAUCACAAAUUAAAUUGGUACAAGCAUUUAAGCAAUGAUGCAAAAGGAGACAAAUAUAUUAUUUCAAUGACCAACAACAAAAUUAAUCAUAUGAUUGACAAGUUGUACCAUAUACUGAUAUACAGCCAAAGGCAGAAGUUCAUUUUCCAUUUUUUCUUUUUUUAUGAUUUACAAAGCUGAGAGCUAUCGUAUUGAAUAUAGAAAAGUUGAGCAUCAGGGCAUUUGACAAAGUAAACAUAACAAGGAAAAAAUAGAGACAAGCUCCUAGAGCUUUAUACACAGCAAAAAAGGUGAGAUGCAGAACAUUCCAGCUUAGCAUGUACAGAAAGAAGAAAGCCUUGCCAUUUCCUUUACAGGGGAAGGCGACAAGAGAAGUGGAAAAUUUCCACAAAACAAGUUGAGAAGAGAGAGGAGAGGGAGACCAUGCGAUAACAUGAUGUGCACUAUAUUGAAAGAGCACAAGUAAAAUUCAAUUAGUAGCUAAAUCCAUUUAUUUAUGCAUAAUUCAUUCGACAAUUGGUAGAGAAAGUUUGAACCUGCCAUCCAUCCAUAAGUGGACCACGGCCAGUUCUUGCAGAUUUGAAAUUAGAGAAGUCCACACUGUUCCUUCCAACGACAUAACUCCAAUAGUCAGUUUCUGCUGAGGCUAUAUCAAUAUAUUCAACCUGCCUGGCUGCUAGUUGUUCUUUGGUUAAACCAUGUACAUUUUCUGAUUGACCAUUGUCAGCCCUAUGAAUAGUUUCAACUGUUAAAGAAAACUUGGUGAAGUAUGGGUUCUGCAAAAUCCCAAACCAAAAUGAGUAGCUAUUGAAUGUCCUACAAAGUUCUUUGGUAGGAAUAACUUGCAAAUUUGAAUUUCUGUAACUGUGAAACAAAAAAAAUUAUUACCUUGAUUACUGUUGUACAGAAUCCAUUUGCAAGGAACAAACAAAAAUAUGUCAAUACAAGUUAACUAACACAAGCUCUAGAAAUAAAUAAAGAACACAAAGACUGUGGCAAGAGAAGCCAAACUUGUUUUGCAUUUUGGGUAUGCAUUCCAAGCUUCUUCUUGCAUGAUGAGGGCAUCUGCUGGUGCAAAAGCCGUAAGCCAAGUAGGAGCUUUGCUUUGCAACCGAUAAACCUUGGAUGUGUAUUGGCACUUUCCAAAUACGUCAUCCUCCAAGGGUCUAUUCUCCAAGACUUCAACACCCUCAGUCCUACUAGUAUUCUGUUGCUGCAUCUUCAUUACCAUGUACAUUUGGGCCAUCUGAUACUCUUCCAGUGACAUAGGCAUGACAAUUCGGAAUUCCUUGAUUUGAACCAUUUUUCUUGCAGCAAUCAGCAACCCUAUUACUCUGGCAGAUAAAACAUACAAGCUGAGACAAGUACAACAAAGUUAGCUAGCUUGGAAUAUAUAUAUUGAUCAAAGUGCAGAGAAAAUGAGAGAAGAAACGAGGGAAGAGACAAUGAGAAAGAAUGAAAAGGGUAAAGGAAAGAAAAAAUUUGGAGAGAACGAAGCAAAAAACGCGUAGGAGUUAGAUAGCGGAGCAGGUCAAAGACGCACUCUAGACAGCUAGAGCAUUGUUAAGAGAGGGCCAGUUCUAAUCUUCUACGUUUACGCAAGUGUGUACAGCUUUUGAUUUUUCAAGUCCUCCAUACUAUAAACUAACUGUUUUUUU
rnacentral:misc_RNA from 1 species